GUGGGGAAUUUUGCGCAAUGGGGGAAACCCUGACGCAGCAACGCCGCGUGAGUGAUGAAGGCCUUCGGGUCGUAAAGCUCUGUCAGAGGGGAAGAAAUGCAGGGGUGCUAAUAUCAUCUUUGCUUGACGGUACCCUCAAAGGAAGCACCGGCUAACUCCGUGCCAGCAGCCGCGGUAAUACGGAGGGUGCGAGCGUUGUUCGGAAUUAUUGGGCGUAAAGCGCGUGUAGGCGGUUUGGUAAGUCUGAUGUGAAAGCCCCGGGCUCAACCUGGGAAGUGCAUUGGAAACUGUCAGACUUGAAUACGGGAGAGGGUAGUGGAAUUCCUAGUGUAGGAGUGAAAUCCGUAGAUAUUAGGAGGAACACCGGUGGCGAAGGCGGCUACCUGGACCGAUAUUGACGCUGAGACGCGAAAGCGUGGGGAGCAAACAGGAUUAGAAACCCGUGUAGUCC
rnacentral:rRNA from 1 species